UACGUAGGGCGCAAGCGUUGUCCGGAAUUAUUGGGCGUAAAGAGCUCGUAGGCGGCCUGUUGCGUCCGCUGUGAAAUCACGGGGCUCAACCCCGGGCCUGCAGUGGAUACGGGCUGGCUAGAGGCAGGCAGGGGAGAACGGAAUUCCUGGUGUAGCGGUGAAAUGCGCAGAUAUCAGGAGGAACACCGGUGGCGAAGGCGGUUCUCUGGGCCUGUACUGACGCUGAGGAGCGAAAGCGUGGGGAGCGAACAGG
rnacentral:rRNA from 1 species